GUGGAUCCUGAGUACGACGGAGCACGUGAAAUUCCGUCGGAAUCUGGGAGGACCAUCUCCUAAGGCUAAAUACUCUCUAGUGACCGAUAGUGAACCAGUACCGUGAGGGAAAGGUGAAAAGCACCCCGGAAGGGGAGUGAAAUAGAACCUGAAACCGUGUGCUUACAAGUAGUCAGAGCCCGUUAAUGGGUGAUGGCGUGCCUUUUGUAGAAUGAACCGGCGAGUUACGAUUUGAUGCAAGGUUAAGCAGUAAAUGUGGAGCCGUAGCGAAAGCGAGUCUGAAUAGGGCGUUUAGUAUUUGGUCGUAGACCCGAAACCAGGUGAUCUACCCUUGGUCAGGUUGAAGUUCAGGUAACACUGAAUGGAGGACCGAACCGACUUACGUUGAAAAGUGAGCGGAUGAACUGAGGGUAGCGGAGAAAUUCCAAUCGAACCUGGAGAUAGCUGGUUCUCUCCGAAAUAGCUUUAGGGCUAGCCUCAAGUGAUGAUUAUUGGAGGUAGAGCACUGUUUGGACGAGGGGCCCCUCUCGGGUUACCGAAUUCAGACAAACUCCGAAUGCCAAUUAAUUUAACUUGGGAGUCAGAACAUGGGUGAUAAGGUCCGUGUUCGAAAGGGAAACAGCCCAGACCACCAGCUAAGGUCCCAAAAUAUAUGUUAAGUGGAAAAGGAUGUGGCGUUGCCCAGACAACUAGGAUGUUGGCUUAGAAGCAGCCAUCAUUUAAAGAGUGCGUAAUAGCUCACUAGUCGAGUGACACUGCGCCGAAAAUGUACCGGGGCUAAACAUAUUACCGAAGCUGUGGAUUGUCCUUUGGACAAUGGUAGGAGAGCGUUCUAAGGGCGUUGAAGCAUGAUCGUAAGGACAUGUGGAGCGCUUAGAAGUGAGAAUGCCGGUGUGAGUAGCGAAAGACGGGUGAGAAUCCCGUCCACCGAUUGACUAAGGUUUCCAGAGGAAGGCUCGUCCGCUCUGGGUUAGUCGGGUCCUAAGCUGAGGCCGACAGGCGUAGGCGAUGGAUAACAGGUUGAUAUUCCUGUACCACCUAUAAUCGUUUUA
rnacentral:rRNA from 1 species